CCUCAACAGCGUAGGUUGUUUAAAUUCGAUCACUAUCUCCCUUGUCGGAAUCCAUACAACUUUUUUUCCAAUUGGACACGCCAUUUUGUUCGCGGGAACUUAAAUAUGGCAGACAACUGACUCGCUUUCCCAAAUGUACGCCAAAACAACUUCCUCCCAACGUGCAUUUUGAGUUGAAAUUGGAUUAACUUUGAGGGGCAAAUUUUACUAUCCUAUAUUCCGGAGAGCUAAUGAGUACUGUGUU
rnacentral:lncRNA from 1 species